rnacentral:tRNA from 1 species
GUUUUAAUAAUUUAAAAUUAAAAUAUUGGUCUUGUAAAUCAAAAAUAAGAAUUGUCUUUUAAAACU